rnacentral:rRNA from 1 species
AUGAACCUCAGUGUUCAGUAUUGGCUUUGCAUAUUGGACAAGGGUCUAAGAUACAUUAAAAGAAACCUCUCCACAUAUGGUGUGCAACCAAGCAUGCUUUUAGAAGAAGACCAUCCAGUGGACAUAACAGAUUUUGCUUUGCAUCCACUUAGCAUGAUACCUUGUACAACUAAUUUUUCAAUCAAGAAGGAAUUGCCAAGUCUAACACUUGGUGAACUUAUCAGAGAUCCCAGUGUUACGCCGAAACAAGAUUUCAUUAUAAUUGCAUGGGAAUCAAGGAUACCUCCUCAUAAAUCAUUUCCUCAUUUUGUUACAAGUCAUGCUCAGGGCGGACAUGAAGUUAGUGCCUUGCCAGGGAGGAAGCGAAGAGGAAUGUGA